CAAAGUGUAGCUUAAUCAAAGCAUCUGGCUUACACCCAGAAGAUUUCAUACACCAAUGACCACUUUG
rnacentral:tRNA from 3 species